rnacentral:rRNA from 1 species
GAUGAACGCUGGCGGCGUGCCUAAUACAUGCAAGUCGAGCGAACGGACGAGAAGCUUGCUUCUCUGAUGUUAGCGGCGGACGGGUGAGUAACACGUGGAUAACCUACCUAUAAGACUGGGAUAACUUCGGGAAGCCGGAGCUAAUACCGGAUAAUAUUUUGAACCGCAUGGUUCAAAAGUGAAAGACGGUCUUGCUGUCACUUAUAGAUGGAUCCGCGCUGCAUUAGCUAGUUGGUAAGGUAACGGCUUACCAAGGCAACGAUGCAUAGCCGACCUGAGAGGGUGAUCGGCCACACUGGAACUGAGACACGGUCCAGACUCCUACGGGAGGCAGCAGUAGGGAAUCUUCCGCAAUGGGCGAAAGCCUAACGGAGCAACGCCGCGUGAGUGAUGAAGGUCUUCGGAUCGUAAAACUCUGUUAUUAGGGAAGAACAUAUGUGUAAGUAACUGUGCACAUCUUGACGGUACCUAAUCAGAAAGCCACGGCUAACUACGUG